rnacentral:rRNA from 1 species
UUUGGUGGCCAUAAAGCUGUGGUCCGACCCGAUCCCAUUCCGAACUCGGCCGUCAAACGCAGCCUUGCCGAUGGUAGUGGUUGUAUAGCUUCCGCGAGAGUAGGUAGCCGCCAGUU